AGUGUUGCACAAAGGAAGAGAUGAGCAGUGAGCUCUGUCUUUGAACCUUGAUUUUAUACUGUGAAAAUGUGUUUAUGCAAGAAAUAUAAGUGCAAGACCAUUAUACACAGAAUUAUUAUCUACACAACCAUUAACAUCAGAACAAAAUGGGGCCUUGGCAGCUCAGCAGUAAAGACGCUGACUACCACACCAGGAGUUGCAAGUUCAAAUCCAGGGCGUGCUGAGGGACUCCAGUCAGGCUUCCUAAGCAACCAAAAGGUGUGUUAACAUGGCAACCUCCACCACCCAACCACCACCAGUUGAGUCCCAUCCUGCACGGAGAUAGGCUCCUCGCCCAUGCCUCCUAUCUCCGGCAGGAUAUGACGGUUCCAAGUACAACUUCUUCGGACGGCCAGAUGGGGCUUACGCCAAAGAGAGACAUUACAUUUCUGUUUUAUAUUCAUCAAAUAAAUGUCAUCUUAAAUUGCAUUAAA